rnacentral:rRNA from 1 species
GUGGGGAAUAUUGGACAAUGGGCGAAAGCCUGAUCCAGCCAUGCCGCGUGUGUGAAGAAGGUCUUCGGAUUGUAAAGCACUUUAAGUUGGGAGGAAGGGCAGUAAGUUAAUACCUUGCUGUUUUGACGUUACCGACAGAAUAAGCACCGGCUAACUCUGUGCCAGCAGCCGCGGUAAUACAGAGGGUGCAAGCGUUAAUCGGAAUUACUGGGCGUAAAGCGCGCGUAGGUGGUUUUGUAAGUUGGAGGUGAAAUCCCCGGGCUCAACCUGGGAACUGCCUCAAAAACUGCAUGACUAGAGUACGGUAGAGGGUAGUGGAAUUUCCUGUGUAGCGGUGAAAUGCGUAGAUAUAGGAAGGAACACCAGUGGCGAAGGCGACUACCUGGACUGAUACUGACACUGAGGUGCGAAAGCGUGGGGAGCAAACAGGAUUAGAAACCCCAGUAGUCC